GGUCCUUGCUGCUGCCUG
rnacentral:misc_RNA from 1 species